rnacentral:rRNA from 1 species
GAGAUAGAGCUUUCCCUUCGGGGACAAAGUGACAGGUGGUGCAUGGUUGUCGUCAGCUCGUGUCGUGAGAUGUUGGGUUAAGUCCCGCAACGAGCGCAACCCUUAUUGUUAGUUGCCAUCAUUUAGUUGGGCACUCUAGCGAGACUGCCGGUGACAAACCGGAGGAAGGUGGGGAUGACGUCAAAUCAUCAUGCCCCUUAUGACCUGGGCUACACACGUGCUACAAUGGGAAGUACAACGAGUCGCUAGACCGCGAGGUCAUGCAAAUCUCUUAAAGCUUCUCUCAGUUCGGAUUGCAGGCUGCAACUCGCCUGCAUGAAGCCGGAAUCGCUAGUAAUCGCGGAUCAGCACGCCGCGGUGAAUACGUUCCCGGGCCUUGUACACACCGCCCGUCACACCACGAGAGUUUGUAACACCCGAAGUCGGUGAGGUAACCUUUUUGGAGCCAGCCGCCUAAGGUGGGAUAGAUGAUUGGGGUGAAG